UACGUAGGGUGCGAGCGUUGUCCGGAAUUAUUGGGCGUAAAGAGCUCGUAGGCGGCUUGUCGCGUCGACUGUGAAAACCCGUGGCUCAACCAUGCGGUCUGCAGUCGAUACGGGCAGGCUAGAAUUCGGUAGGGGAGACUGGAAUUCCUGGUGUAGCGGUGAAAUGCGCAGAUAUCAGGAGGAACACCGGUGGCGAAGGCGGGUCUCUGGGCCGAUAUUGACGCUGAGGAGCGAAAGCGUGGGGAGCGAACAGG
rnacentral:rRNA from 1 species